GCGGCGGACGGGUGAGUAACACGUGGGCAACCUGCCCUGAAGCGGGGGAUAACAUCUGGAAACAGGUGCUAAUACCGCAUAACAACGAAAACCACAUGGUUUUCGUUUCAAAGAUGGUUUCGGCUAUCACUUCAGGAUGGGCCCGCGGUGCAUUAGCUAGUUGGUAAGGUAACGGCUUACCAAGGCGAUGAUGCAUAGCCGAGUUGAGAGACUGAUCGGCCACAAUGGAACUGAGACACGGUCCAUACUCC
rnacentral:rRNA from 1 species